GUCAAACAAAAUGACAAGCAAAUUUUAAUGGGUGAAAUUACUAGUAAAUAAAUAAUUUUCCGAAAAAUAAUCAUGCUUGAAAAGCUAUGUAGUUCAAACAGAACAUUUCCGUGUAGGGCAAGCACAUUUUUGGAAUAAAAUAUAAGAUAUAAUUCAUCAGGAUCCAGGAUCUUGUACUUAUAAUUAGAUAAAAUCACUUACUAGUGAAGAAUUUUCCAAAUAGUAAUCAUACUGAAACAGCUGAGCUCAAGCAUCAUUCCUAUGUAUGACAACUAAAACUUUCCAAAAUACAUUGAGCUGUGUUUCAUACCAAAAUGGACUUUUCUUUUGAAAUCAACUAGCAAACAAAAAGCAAACGCCUACUGUAGCCCAAUAUUCAUGGAAAACUCACAUCACUUUCUCCUAUCACCUGAUUUCUCCUUAUUCUGUUUUCAUCUACGUUAAAAAAAAGAUGCGAUAAAACACAUCGGAAAAAUCUCGGAAAAACUACUUCCGAAAAGCUAAGGAUCCAAAUAGAGUAUUUUGUAUCAAUUUUCUAAAUAACAUUUGCCCACUUUACCAGAGGAGUUCCGGACCUGAUUGUUAUUCAUGGGUCCUUGAUGAAAGCCUCACAUUAUGUUGUGAUUCUUGCCAUUCAUUAGCCAUAAUUGGAAAACUACAAUCGGAUCUCAUUGACGAAUAACGGGUAAACGAUUGACCUUAAACUAGGUACCAACAAGAGUACUUUAAGGAUUAAUCCCGGCUUGCUCAAAGAAUUGUUAAAAAAGAUUUUGGUUUAGCUUGUAUGGCGUGGUUAAUGAAUAAAACAUCCUGCAGGACCUAACCACACGAUCGGAUGAUCGGCAGAUACCUGCCUGCCUAUCAAAUUUUGUUGUUUUGGAAAGAAACGAAACGUUUCAUACCUCGGAGCAUUAUCGGCAAGGAUCAGCGAAUUUGUUACGGCACAGGGAUGUAUUGCAAAGAGAGGGCCACGCUAAACCGUCACUGCUGUCAAUUUAAUAUAUGCAAGGCCCGCUAGAAUAUUAAAAUUCGAAGCGGGUAGGCCGUACUGCAGAGUCCGGCGCAUAUCUUUCUACAGUAGCGUGUAUAAUACGAGAAACGUCGCAGACGUGUAAUUAUAUAUUUAAAAUAACAAUGAUUAAAAGACGGUCUACCAAGUAAACGUUCGAUAUAAUUCAUGAAUGCAGAGAGACAGAUGAAUUAUUAAGCAGCAACAGCUCCACCUUUGAUCGCAUCGCGCUCUAGAGAGUUGAGCUGUCCCAAGUUAAAGCCGGCAUGUAUAUAUUUGCAACAAAGGACAGACAGACCGAACCGUGCGAUCGAAUGCAAUGCUGCACGACAACCCCACAACCACGCCCAGUGUUGCCAGAUGGAAAUCUCGAAAUUAACAUAAGGUGGAAUUUUAAGUACCUACCUCGCCGGUUUUUUUAAAAUACGCACGGCAUCAGCCUGCAACUUCGUCUUGUAUGUUGAUUUCAAGCAACUGAAACAACACAUACUAAAUAUCUCUUAUACCCAACCCAACCCGACCCGACCCAACCUUACGAUAUGCAGGUUUUAAAAGGACCGAACGUUUUCCGAUAUUUUUAGGUUUUCUGUGAAAAUUGCGAAUGAAAUCGAAAUUAAAUAAUACACAAUUCAAUACCGAUACUAUGCUUAAGGCUGUCAUGGUCACUGGAGCCGAAACCGUCACUAAUACGAAUCGAAACCUUGAAUAACAAUCUUAUAUGAGAAAGCCUUAAAAUUCUAUAAGUAAAAGAUUCAACACUGUUCCUUAACAACUAUCAAAAGUAACAAACACUUGGGGUGAUUUUUAACAGUACCAGAAAAUUUUGUUUAGUUCACAUGCUAAAAGCUGUGACCAAACCACUAGACCGCCCCACCCGGUACGGAUUUCCCAGUUUUCUAAUACUUUUUAUAGUACUGAUUACCACAGCUGUUCUAAGGAAUUUAGUACUUGUGGACUAGUAGCAAUAACGCAUAGUCCUUCAUAAGAAAAUAUUACGGAAUGAGAAGUAAGAGCUUUCGAGGUCACUGGAAAUAAAUGUGCCACCAAUACGUAACGAAACCUUGAAGGAUAAUACGCUAAUACUAAAUAUGGAACACUUAAAAGUCUAAAAAGAAAGGUCUCAGCAGUAGUCCUUAAUAACUAUCAAAUGUAAGAAUCACUUGAGCUGCUUUCUAACACUUUCCCAAUAUUUAUUUAGUUCAGAUGCUAAAAGCUGUGAUCAAACAACUAGACCGCCCCACCCGGUACGGAUUUCCCAGUUUUCUAAUACUUUUUAUAGUACUGAUUACCACAGCUGUUCUAAGGAAUUUAGUACUUGUGGACUAGUAGCAAUAACGCAUAGUCCUUCAUAAGAAAAUACUACGGGAUGAGAAGUAAGAGCUUUCGAGGUCACUGGAAAUAAAAGUGCCACCAAUACGUAACGAAACCUUGAAGGAUAAUACGCUAAUACUAAAUAUGGAACACUUAAAAGUCUAAAAAGAAAGGUCUCAGCAGUAGUCCUUAAUAAUUAUCAAAUGUAACAAGCACUUGAGCUGCUUUCCAACACAUUCCAAAUAUAUAUUCUAAAAGUAAAGGGUUCAAUACUGUUCCUUAACAACUAUGAAAAGUAACAAACACUUGGGGUGCUUUUUAACAGUACCACAAAAAUUUAUUUAGUUCGCAUGCUAAAAGCUGUGAUCAAAUCACUAGACCGUUCCGCCUGGUACAGACUUAUUCGUUUCCUAAACUUUUUAUAGCACUAAUGACUAAGAGAUUUGGCGCUUGUAAACUAGUAACAAUAACGCAUGGUUCUUCGUUAGAAAAUAUACAGAAUGAGAAAUGUGAGCUUUCAUCAGUUCUGGAUCUAAAGGCGUCAUUAAUACACAACGAAACCAUGAGGAAUAUUGCGCUAAUCUUGUAUGAGAACGCUUCACAAUCUAAGAAGAAACAAGAAACUAAUACUUGAUGUGCUUUUUAACAGUCUCAGAAAAUUGUACUUAGUCUAAUUGCUAAAAGCUGUGAUAAACCACUAGACCGCCCCGCUCGUUACAGAUUUAUUUGUUUUCUAAAAACUUUUGUAAUACUGAUUAUCAUAGCUGUUCUAAGAAAUUUGACGAUUGUGGACUAAUUACAAUCUAGCUCAUCAUAAGAAAAUAUACGGGGUAAGAAACAGGGAGCUUUUGUGGUCACUAGAACUAAAAGCGCUACCACUUCGAAACGAAACCUUGAAGGAUAAUAUCCUUCUCUUGUAUAUAAAACGUCUUUAAAGUUGAAAAAGGAAUGUUUCAGCAUUUUUGCUUAACGACUAUGAAAAGUAACAAACACUUGAUGUGAUUUUCAGCACUUUCUGAAAAUUUGAUUCAGUUCGAAUGCUAAAAGCUGUAAAAAAAAACUAGAUCGCCCUGCUCGUUACAGAUUUAUUUGUUUUCUAAAAACUUUUGUAAUACUGAUUAUCAUAGCUGUUCUAAGAAAUUUGACGAUUGUGGACUAAUUACAAUAACCCCUAGCUUAUCAUAAGAAAAUAUACGGGGUUAGAAACAGGGAGCUUUCGUGGUCACUAGAACUAAAAGCGCUACCAAUUCGAAACGAAACCUUGAAGGAUGCUAUAUCCUUCUCCUGUAUAUAGAACGCCUUUAAAGUUCAAAGGUUUCAACAUUUUCUCCGAAAGACCAUGAAAUUUUCGGCAGUUUCUGAAAAUUUGAUUCAGUUCAAAUGCUAAAAGCUGUGACAAAUCACCUAGACCGCUCCUCCAGUAACAAUAAGAAAAUACACAGGAUAUGAAGUGGGAGAGGGAUGUGAACAUCAGUGAAGUAUUGCAGUAGCUUUAGAAUUUAAAAAAGUCAAUGUAUUAUUACCAAUGAGCAAAUAAAGACAUAAAGGUCAUACG